rnacentral:lncRNA from 1 species
AAAAAUUAGUAACGUCUUGUUCAUGGUGGAUUUUUUUCCGUUAAUUUUGAUUGUUUAAAAUAUUGCAUCACAAGAUUCGUUGUCUUGACCGCUGAGUUUUCUGGGCCCCUUGGGUCCUGCGCCUCCGGAGCGUGGGCGCCGCGGGCCUGCGGAAGGCGGGCUGGGAGCCGGGCGGGCUCUUCGCCGCCGGCUGCUCUGCCUUCGGGGCGGGGCAGGGUGGCACUGGCACUGGGACUCAGCUUAACUACAUGCUGCAAGACGGAGGGCUUCCUUCUUGAGGCCAGAGACGCAGGGAGCCAGCGGCUCUGCCCCUCCCUCCGGCCUCUGCGCCCAGCUCAGCCGCCACCCUCGAUCCAGACCCCUCCCCGACCCCUGCUUCUCCUCCCGGACGCUAACCGAAAUCGCAGACCGUCCCUCCCCGCCCCCCCCGCCCCUGUCCUCCCCGGAGAGCAGCCUGCCACCUACUUUAGCGUGGGGCUGGGAGUGAAAGCGGGUCUUGACUCUGAGGGGAGGCUGAAGGGUUUGGUAGACGCGUUCGGCUGAGCGUGCUCCUUCCCGGGACCCUGCAGUGACACGGAGCUGUGCAUCUAAGAGAGAGCAGAGGAGUCAGGGGUCUGCGACAUUCCAUCCAUGGCCAGGGACAACUGCCUUCAGCGGACACGUUUAAAAGGACAAUGGGAGAGAAAACCAAGUGUGUUUUGAACACAUCACGUGUCAGCAGUUAACAAAAGGUUUUAAUGUAAUGGUGUUAAUAGCGAAAGACCAAAACACAAGUACUACGGAAGUACCUUUUAUCAACAUAAGGCAUUUACUGAGUGCUUGCAAAGCACUGUCCUGGGACUACAAAUAUUUAUACCUGUCGUCUUUGACCCCUGGGGCUGGCAACCUAAAGAAGGCAGACCAACGCAAACUCGAGUAACUCUAACCCGGGUUGACCAGGCGGACAGCUGUCCGUCAAGGUACACACUUCCUGCGACGGAGAGCGACGACAGCAAGGCUGCACUCCGACAGGGGCGGGUCGCAGCCGGGGAACCAGGCGCUCACGCUUCUUUCAGCUAUGUGUUUUCCAUCCUGAUAUUCGCAGAGCUGACUGCACUGAUCGGUCACCUGGCAGUUAUGAUUCCCGACACAAACGUAAAGCAUCAUCCGGCUUCGUACUGCGGAUGUGUCUUACUGAACCUCACGGCCACGUUCCCAGGAGGGAAAUCCUGGUGUUCCUCAGAUGGGAAUUUUGACCCAUUGCACUUAUCCUUCCCCUGGCAGCACUAACAAGAGCUUCAUGAAGACAAGUGUCCCGUGUCAGUUUAUCUGCAGAUGUGUGUCCACACACCAGCACAGUGCCUGCUACACAGCAGCUGUUCAAUCAUUCUGUUGAAUAAAUU